UACGGGGGGGCAAGCGUUGUUCGGAAUUACUGGGCGUAAAGGGCUCGUAGGCGGCCAACUAAGUCGGACGUGAAAUCCCUCGGCUCAACCGGGGAACUGCGUCCGAUACUGGAUGGCUUGAGUUCGGGAGAGGGAUGCGGAAUUCCAGGUGUAGCGGUGAAUGCGUAGAUAUCUGGAGGAACACCGGUGGCGAAGGCGGCAUCCUGGACCGACACUGACGCUGAGGAGCGAAAGCCAGGGGAGCAAACGGGG
rnacentral:rRNA from 1 species